UACGAAGGGGGCUAGCGUUGCUCGGAAUCACUGGGCGUAAAGGGUGCGUAGGCGGGUCUUUUAAGUCAGGGGUGAAAUCCUGGAGCUCAACUCCAGAACUGCCUUUGAUACUGAAGAUCUUGAGUUCGGGAGAGGUGAGUGGAACUGCGAGUGUAGAGGUGAAAUUCGUAGAUAUUCGCAAGAACACCGAUUGCGAAGGCAGCUCACAAAGCCAUUAUUGACGCUGAGGCACGAAAGCGUGGGGGAAGCAA
rnacentral:rRNA from 1 species